rnacentral:rRNA from 1 species
CAGUAGCCGCGGUAAUACGGAGGGUGCAAGCGUUAAUCGGAAUUACUGGGCGUAAAGCGCACGCAGGCGGUCUGACAAGUCAGAUGUGAAAUCCCCGGGCUUAACCUGGGAACUGCAUUUGAAACUGUCAGGCUGGAGUCUUGUAGAGGGGGGUGGAAUUCCAGGUGUAGCGGUGAAAUGCGUAGAGAUCUGGAGGAAUACCGGUGGCGAAGGCGGCCCCCUGGACAAAGACUGACGCUCAGGUGCGAAAGCGUGGGGAGCAAACAGGAUUAGAGACCCGGGUAGUCCCUGUCUCUUAUAC